rnacentral:rRNA from 1 species
CCUACGGGAGGCAGCAGUGGGGAAUAUUGGGCAAUGGGCGCAAGCCUGACCCAGCAACGCCGCGUGAAGGAAGAAGGCUUUCGGGUUGUAAACUUCUUUUGUCAGGGACGAAGCAAGUGACGGUACCUGACGAAUAAGCCACGGCUAACUACGUGCCAGCAGCCGCGGUACUACGUAGGUGGCAAGCGUUAUCCGGAUUUAUUGGGUGUAAAGGGCGUGUAGGCGGGAAUGCAAGUCAGAUGUGAAAACCAUGGGCUCAACCCGUAGCCUGCAUUUGAAACUGGAUAUCUUGAGUGCUGGAGAGGAAAGCGGAAUUCCGGGUGUAGCGGUGAAAUGCGUAGAUAUACGGAGGAACACCAGUGGCGAAGGCGGAUUGCUGGACAGUAACUGACGCUGAGGCGCGAAAGCGUGGGGAGCAAACAGGAUUAGAUACCCUAGUAGUC